rnacentral:rRNA from 1 species
UACGUAGGUGGCAAGCGUUGUUCGGAAUUAUUGGGCGUAAAGGGCGCGUAGGCGGCCUUCUAAGUCAGACGUGAAAUCCCUCGGCUCAACCGGGGAACUGCGUCUGAGACUGGAAGGCUUGAAUUCGGGAGAGGGAUGUGGAAUUCCAGGUGUAGCGGUGAAAUGCGUAGAUAUCUGGAGGAACACCGGUGGCGAAGGCGGCAUCCUGGACCGAUAUUGACGCUGAUGCGCGAAAGCCAGGGGAGCAAACGGG